ensembl:snoRNA SNORD83B small nucleolar RNA, C/D box 83B
GAUGUCCUGUGAUGAAGACAUGGAAUUAGCGCUGGGCGCAGCGCCCGAAAUGCAUGAGGAACUAUUCCAUGCUGCCUUCCUUCUGAGGACUGA